rnacentral:rRNA from 1 species
CUUAAAUUGAAGAGUUUGAUCAUGGCUCAGAUUGAACGCUGGCGGCAGGCCUAACACAUGCAAGUCGAGCGGAAACGAGUUAUCUGAACCUUCGGGGAACGAUAGCGGCGUCGAGCGGCGGACGGGUGAGUAAUGCCUAGGAAAUUGCCCUGAUGUGGGGGAUAACCAUUGGAAACGAUGGCUAAUACCGCAUGAUGCCUACGGGCCAAAGAGGGGGACCUUCGGGCCUCUCGCGUCAGGAUAUGCCUAGGUGGGAUUAGCUAGUUGGUGAGGUAAGGGCUCACCAAGGCGACGAUCCCUAGCUGGUCUGAGAGGAUGAUCAGCCACACUGGAACUGAGACACGGUCCAGACUCCUACGGGAGGCAGCAGUGGGGAAUAUUGCACAAUGGGCGCAAGCCUGAUGCAGCCAUGCCGCGUGUGUGAAGAAGGCCUUCGGGUUGUAAAGCACUUUCAGUCGUGAGGAAGGUAGUGUAGUUAAUAGCUGCAUUAUUUGACGUUAGCGACAGAAGAAGCACCGGCUGCUGGCACGGAGUUAGCCGGUGCUCUAACGCGUUAAGUAGACCGCCUGGGGAGUACGGUCGCAAGAUUAAAACUCAAAUGAAUUGACGGGGGCCCGCACAAGCGGUGGAGCAUGUGGUUUAAUUCGAUGCAACGCGAAGAACCUUACCUACUCUUGACAUCCAGAGAACUUUCCAGAGAUGGAUUGGUGCCUUCGGGAACUCUGAGACAGGUGCUGCAUGGCUGUCGUCAGCUCGUGUUGUGAAAUGUUGGGUUAAGUCCCGCAACGAGCGCAACCCUUAUCCUUGUUUGCCAGCGAGUAAUGUCGGGAACUCCAGGGAGACUGCCGGUGAUAAACCGGAGGAAGGUGGGGACGACGUCAAGUCAUCAUGGCCCUUACGAGUAGGGCUACACACGUGCUACAAUGGCGCAUACAGAGGGCAGCCAACUUGCGAAAGUGAGCGAAUCCCAAAAAGUGCGUCGUAGUCCGGAUUGGAGUCUGCAACUCGACUCCAUGAAGUCGGAAUCGCUAGUAAUCGUGGAUCAGAAUGCCACGGUGAAUACGUUCCCGGGCCUUGUACACACCGCCCGUCACACCAUGGGAGUGGGCUGCAAAAGAAGUAGGUAGUUUAACCUUCGGGGGGACGCUUACCACUUUGUGGUUCAUGACUGGGGUGAAGUCGUAACAAGGUAGCGCUAGGGGAACCUGGCGCUGGAUCACCUCCUUAAACGAUGAU